UGUUUGAUGUUCUAACGUUGGCCCGUAAUCCGGGUUGCGGACAGUGUCUGGUGGGUAGUUUGACUGGGGCGGUCUCCUCCUAAAGAGUAACGGAGGAGCACGAAGGUUGGCUAAUCCUGGUCGGACAUCAGGAGGUUAGUGCAAUGGCAUAAGCCAGCUUGACUGCGAGCGUGACGGCGCGAGCAGGUGCGAAAGCAGGUCAUAGUGAUCCGGUGGUUCUGAAUGGAAGGGCCAUCGCUCAACGGAUAAAAGGUACUCCGGGGAUAACAGGCUGAUACCGCCCAAGAGUUCAUAUCGACGGCGGUGUUUGGCACCUCGAUGUCGGCUCAUCACAUCCUGGGGCUGAAGUAGGUCCCAAGGGUAUGGCUGUUCGCCAUUUAAAGUGGUACGCGAGCUGGGUUUAGAACGUCGUGAGACAGUUCGGUCCCUAUCUGCCGUGGGCGCUGGAGAACUGAGGGGGGCUGCUCCUAGUACGAGAGGACCGGAGUGGACGCAUCACUGGUGUUCGGGUUGUCAUGCCAAUGGCACUGCCCGGUAGCUAAAUGCGGAAGAGAUAAGUGCUGAAAGCAUCUAAGCACGAAACUUGCCCCGAGAUGAGUUCUCCCUGAGACUUAGAGUCUCCUGAAGGAACGUUGAAGACGACGACGUUGAUAGGCCGGGUGUGUAAGCGCAGCGAUGCGUUGAGCUAACCGGUACUAAUGAACCGUGAGGCUUAAC
rnacentral:rRNA from 1 species